GAUGAAGAACGUAGCAAAAUGCGAUGCUUGGUGUGAAUUGCAGAAUCCCGUGAACCAUCGAGUUUUUGAACGCAAGUUGCGCCCGAAGCCUUUUGGCCGAGGGCACGUCUGCCUGGGCGUCACGCAUCGCGUCGCCCCCCACAAUUCUCCGUAAAGGGAACAUGUGUUUUGGGGGCGGAUAUUGGUCUCCCGUGCUCAUGGCGUGGUUGGCCGAAAUAGGAGUCCUUUCGAUGGACGCACGAACUAGUGGUGGUCGUAAAAACCCUCGUCUUUUGUUUCGUGCUGUUGCUCGCAAGGUAAACUCUUUAAAAACCCCAAUGUGUCGUCUCUUGACGACGCUUCGACCGCGACCCCAGGUCAGGCGGGACUACCCGCUGAGUUUAAGCAUAUCAAUAAGCGGAGGA
rnacentral:misc_RNA from 1 species